rnacentral:lncRNA from 1 species
GAAAAUAGUUUCCGAUCUUUGGGAUUCCCGAGAUGGUCCAAUCUGCAAAAAGUUCAUUGCCAUUUCCAUCAAGGACACUGAGAACAAGAGUCUUAUCCGGAUUGGAUCCUGGGAAUUGAGAAGCUUCAGCAGGGCUUCCGCUGGGACUAGGAUCAGGAUGUGGACACCCCCAACCUGGACCGUCUGGCCGGGGAGGGCGUCAAGGCCAAGUACCUCAUGCCGCCCCUUGUCACAAUGACCUCCCCGUCCCACCUCACUGCCAUCCCAGAUCUUCUUGGCUUAGCAGCUGCAGACCGACAGUGCCCGAUCGAUCACCUCGGAAGCCUACAGGACCAUCACAGACGCUCUACGUUACUCUCACAGUGGAACAGCACGGCUCUUUGCUGCUAAAGUCACCCAGAACGGGAGUCAUUGUGACCCUUACGGUCCCCCGAGAGGAAGAAUGGAGACUUUUCUUAACUGUGUGGGGCCAAGAGAUAAGACCAGCUCUGGCUAAGCGGUGCCAAGAGUGUGGGCGGAAGACAACCCUCCAGGGUUUGCAGUCAACCAAGCCCCCGUACUUAUAGAAGUUAAGCCUAGGGCCCAGCCGGUUAGGCAAAAACAGGAGCCGGUCCCCAGAGAAGCUCUUGAAGGUAUCCAGGUCCAUCUCAAGCACCUAAGAAGUUUUGGAAUUAGAGGUCCUUGUCAGUCUCCAUGGAACACUCCCCUCCUGCCUGUUCCCAAGCCUAAGACCAAGGACUACUGGCCGGUACAGGAUUUGCGCUUGGUUAAUCAGGCUACAGUGACUUUACAUCCAGCAGUACCUAACCCGUACACAUUGCUGGGGUUGCUGCCAGCUGAGGACAGCUGCUUCACCUUCUUGGACCUGAAAGAUGCUUUCUUUAGCAUCAGAUUAUCCCGAGAGCCAGAAGCUGUUUGCUUUCAGUGGGCAGAUCCAGAGUCAGGUGUCACUACUCAGUACACUUGGACCGGGCUUCCCCAAGGGUUCAAGAACUCCCCCACCAUCUUCGGGGAGGCAUUGCCUCAAGACCUCCAGAAGUUUCCCACCAGAGACCUAGACUGCGUGUUGCUCCAGUACGUUGAUGAUCUUUUGCUGGGACACCCCAUGGCAGUCGGGUGCACCAAAGGAACAGAUGCUCUACUCCGGCACCUGGAGGACUGUGGGUAUAAGAUGUCCAAGAAAAAAGCUUAGAUCUGCCGACAGCAGGUACAUUACUUAGGAUUUACUAUCCGAAAGUGGGAGACAGCCUAGGAUCAGAAAGAAACAGGUCAUUUGAAAUCUACUGGAGCCUAAGACCAGAAGGCAGGUGAGAGAAUUCUUAUGGGCUGUGGGGUUUUGAAGACUGUAGAUCCCAAAAUUUGCAGUAUAAGCCAAGCCUUUGUAUGAGGUCACAAAGGGAGGGGGAACGGGAACGUUUUGAAUGGGGAUUCCAGCAACAGCAAGGCUUUCAUGAGUUAAAGGAAAA